AUAAGCGGAGGAAAAGAAACCAACAGGGAUUGCCCUAGUAACGGCGAGUGAAGCGGCAACAGCUCAAAUUUGAAAUCUGGCCCUCUACGGGGUCCGAGUUGUAAUUUGCAGAGGGUGCUUUGGUGUCGGCUGUGGUCCAAGUUCCCUGGAACAGGACGUCGCAGAGGGUGAGAACCCCGUACGUGGCCGCCAGCCUUCGCCGUGUAAAGCCCCUUCGAAGAGUCGAGUUGUUUGGGAAUGCAGCUCUAAAUGGGAGGUAAAUUCCUUCUAAAGCUAAAUAUUGGCCAGAGACCGAUAGCGCACAAGUAGAGUGAUCGAAAGAUGAAAAGCACUUUGGAAAGAGAGUGAAACAGCACGUGAAAUUGUUGAAAGGGAAGCGCUUACAGCCAGACGUGCCCGCAGUUGCUCAGUGGGGGUUCUUCCCCGGCGCGUUCUUCUGCGGGCAGGCCAGCAUCAGUCUGGGCGGUUGGAUAAAAGCCUGCUAAACGUACCUCCCCCCGGGGAGGACUUAUAGGGUAGGUGGCAUACGACCAGCCCGGACUGAGGACCGCGCAUCUGCUAGGAUGCUGGCGUAAUGGCUGUAAGCGGCCCGUCUUGAAACACGGACCAAGGAGUCUAAAAUCUAUGCGAGUGUUUGGGUGUCAAGCCCGAGCGCGCAAUGAAAGUGAACGCAGGUGGGAACCCUCCGGGGUGCACCAUCGACCGAUCCUGAUGUUUUCGGAAGGAUUUGAGUAUGAGCAUAGCUUUUGGGACCCGAAAGAUGGUGAACUAUGCCUGAAUAGGGUGAAGCCAGAGGAAACUCUGGUGGAGGCUCGCAGCGGUUCUGACGUGCAAAUCGAUCGUCAAAUUUGGGCAUAGGGGCGAAAGACUAAUCGAACUAUCUAGUAGCUGGUUCCUGCCGAAGUUUCCCUCAGGAUAGCAGUAACGUUUUCAGUUUUAUGAGGUAAAGCGAAUGAUUAGAGGCAUGGGGGUUGAAACAACCUUCACCUAUUCUCAAACUUUAAAUAUGUAAGAAGUCCUUGUUACUAUU
rnacentral:rRNA from 1 species